CUCCGCCACGACCACUCUGACUCCCCCUCCUCCAACGCCGUCGCCGCGGCCUCCGCUUCCUCCCCAGACCACGGUAAAUACGACCACAUCUUGGAGACUUUCGCUGAGAAGUACGUUCAGCCCAAGCUGCUAGCCUUUCAGCCCCUUCCUCUGCCCAUAAUGCCCAACCUCUCCCUCUCCGACCCACCUCCGGUGCUCUCUCUCGGCUCCGUCGGUAUCUCGGAUGCCGGCGUGCCUGUGGGUUCAACCACGCCCUCCCCAGUCCUCCCUGCGUGGAUGAACGCCACAAACAUGGGUUCAACGACGUCAUCUAUAUC
rnacentral:lncRNA from 1 species